rnacentral:rRNA from 1 species
CCUACGGGGGGCUGCAGUGGGGAAUAUUGGACAAUGGGGGGAACCCUGAUCCAGCCAUGCCGCGUGUGUGAAGAAGGCCCUCGGGUUGUAAAGCACUUUCAGUGAGGAAGAACGCCUGGUGGUUAAUACCCAUCAGGAAAGACAUCACUCACAGAAGAAGCACCGGCUAACUCCGUGCCAGCAGCCGCGGGUAAUACGGAGGGUGCGAGCGUUAAUCGGAAUUACUGGGCGUAAAGCGCGCGUAGGUGGCUUGAUAAGCCGGUUGUGAAAGCCCCGGGCUCAACCUGGGAACGGCAUCCGGAACUGUCAAGCUAGAGUGCAGGAGAGGAAGGUAGAAUUCCCGGUGUAGCGGUGAAAUGCGUAGAGAUCGGGAGGAAUACCAGUGGCGAAGGCGGCCUUCUGGACUGACACUGACACUGAGGUGCGAAAGCGUGGGUAGCAAACAGGAUUAGAUACCCUUGUAGUC